UACCAUGAAAACACCUGCAUAGAGACUAUGGACAAAAGCAAAGAUUAGACUAGACCAAAGCAUAUACAACUCAAUCUAUAGCUACUGUUGCUUUACUGAAAAAAAAAAUGCAUUGGCCAAGAAUGUACUCUAGUUGCUGGACAUCUAAGCCUCUUAGCUUUUGUAAAUGAAGUAUUCCAUCAUACCUCCUAGAUCAUGAAUGUUUGUGAAGAUAAACUGUCUUGAAGAGAGGUGGGUAUUUUGACAACAAAUAAGAAGAAUAUAUCAAGAACUCUCAAGAGAGUAGCACCUCAAGAUAUAGAGCACCCUGUAUGUCAUAUCCCAAAACCUAUCAACCACACAGCUGUAGAUGACAUGGACCAUGGAGUUAAGCAUGAAAAUAAUAAGCCUGCAAGAAGUGGCACAAUGCUGAGAAGAAAUCCUCCUACUUAGAUACCACCAAGUUCUCCAGGGUUGAAUAUUCCUGAUAAAACCCAGGAACCUGUCAGACCCUCAAAACUUCCUAAGGACUAUAUGACUAGUUCUGCAAAGCCAGGAAGUGAAAAUAAGACAGCCAGGAAGACUUCUUUAUAUUACACACACAGUGCAAGGAGUGCUGAAAAGUGGAAGGCAAGAAUAGAGUACACUCAAGUGUAGUGGCUGAUACCAUAGCAUCCACUACUGGAGCAAUUGCUGAUAUCCCAACUCCACCAUUAGCACCUCCACCAGAUGGCAUCCCCAUGACACCACACCACCUCCUCCAUCACCUCCUGCAAUGAGUUAUGAAAAUGAAGCUUUAGUAGUUCAGCAUCAUGAUCCAUGUGCAGAUGGGGUUCCUGUGGAAAACCCCAGGAACUGUACUGAGAAAGUUGUUACAAUAUAUGAG
rnacentral:lncRNA from 1 species